GGGAUAAAUUAAUUCAAUAAGCGGAGGAAAAGAAACCAACAGGGAUUGCCCUAGUAACGGCGAGUGAAGCGGCAACAGCUCAAAUUUGAAAUCUGGCGUCUUUGGCGUCCGAGUUGUAAUUUGCAGAGGGCGCUUUGGCAUUGGCAGCGGUCCAAGUUCCUUGGAACAGGACGUCACAGAGGGUGAGAAUCCCGUACGUGGUCGCUAGCCUUUACCGUGUAAAGCCCCUUCGACGAGUCGAGUUGUUUGGGAAUGCAGCUCUAAAUGGGAGGUAAAUUUCUUCUAAAGCUAAAUACUGGCCAGAGACCGAUAGCGCACAAGUAGAGUGAUCGAAAGAUGAAAAGCACUUUGGAAAGAGAGUUAAAAAGCACGUGAAAUUGUUGAAAGGGAAGCGCUUGCAGCCAGACUUGCCUGUAGUUGCUCAUCCGGGUUUUUACCCGGUGCACUCUUCUACGGGCAGGCCAGCAUCAGUUUGGGCGGUUGGAUAAAGGUCUCUGUCAUGUACCUCCUCUCGGGGAGAACUUAUAGGGGAGACGACAUGCAACCAGCCCGGACUGAGGUCCGCGCAUCUGCUAGGAUGCUGGCGUAAUGGCUGUAAGCGGCCCGUCUUGAAACACGGACCAAGGAGUCUAACAUCUAUGCGAGUGUUUGGGUGUCAAGCCCGAGCGCGUAAUGAAAGUGAACGGAGGUGGGAACCUUUCGGGGUGCACCAUCGACCGAUCCUGAUGUCUUCGGAUGGAUUUGAGUAAGAGCAUAGCUGUUGGGACCCGAAAGAUGGUGAACUAUGCUUGAAUAGGGUGAAGCCAGAGGAAACUCUGGUGGAGGCUCGCAGCGGUUCUGACGUGCAAAUCGAUCGUCAAAUUUGGGCAUAGGGGCGAAAGACUAAUCGAACUAUCUAGUAGCUGGUUCCUGCCGAUCUCCCCCCUUCGG
rnacentral:rRNA from 1 species